CUCUAUGGUUGGCUCAGUGGUUAGAGCUUAGGUCUCGUAACAGAAAGAUCGCGGGUUCGAAUCCCGCUAGAGG
rnacentral:tRNA from 1 species